rnacentral:rRNA from 1 species
AUGGAUCUAGGAAGCAAUCGACUAUCUGGCGAGAUCCCUAAGCAAAUCGGCCAACUUAGUAAUCUUGAGAUUCUUGAUUUCUCAAGCAACCAGUUAAGUGGUAAAAUACCAGAAGAGAUCGGUAAUUGUUUGAAACUGCAGUCAUUACAUAUGAAUAACAACAGCCUUAGUGAAAGUCUUCCUGGUAGUUUGGGCCAUUUAGCUUCCCUUCAAAGCAUGCUUGAUCUUAGUAUGAAUAGUCUCAGUGGACCGAUACCAUCGGAACUCAGCAAACUUGAGAUGCUGAUGUUUGUGAACUUCUCACACAAUCAAUUCAGUGGUGGCAUCCCCAUCUCCAUCGCAAGCAUGCAAAGCAUAACAGUAUUUGAUGUAUCAUACAACUUCCUAGAAGGCUCUGUCCCAAAUGGUAUUCACAAUGCAUCAGCUGAAUGGUUUCUCCACAACAAAGGCCUCUGUGGAAACCUUGUUGGCCUGUCUCCUUGUGAUUUGCAACUUGCAGAUCAUAGUCGGAAACAUCAAAAGAUUAUACUACCAGUGGGUCUUCCUAUGUUUGUCGCUACUAUUUCGAUAGUAGCAGGUGUAGUUGCCCUUUUGAUCUGUCGCAAGAAAGCAUCUAAAAGUACUGAUGAUGUGAGCAAAGGGGGUGUUUUCUCUGUAUGGAGCUUUGAUGGCAGAAUGGCAUUUGAGGAUAUUAUGAAUGCAACUGAAAAUUUUGAUGAGAAGCACUGCGUUGGAGAAGGAUCAUACGGUAGUGUUUAUAAGGCAGAACUUCAAGAUGAACAAGUGGUUUCUGUAAAGAAACUCCAUGCAGGCGAUGAGGAGGCACAUGAUGAAGAAAUAUUCCAGCAUGAGAUUGAAAUGUUAACAAAAGUUCGCCAACACAGCAUCGUCAAGUUGUAUGGCUAUUGUUCUCAUCCACGGUACAGGUUCCUUGUAUGCCAAUUCAUAGAGAGAGGAAAUCUAGCUUCUAUCUUAAGCAAUGAAGAACUAGCAUCCCAGUUCCACUGGGAAAGGAGGAUAGCUCUAAUAAGAGAUGUGGCUCAAGCCAUCACUUAUCUCCAUCAUGAUGUUCACCCACCCAUAAUUCAUAGGGACAUCACAAGCAGAAACAUCUUAUUAGAUGCUGACUACAAGGCAUUUGUCUCGGAUUUUGGUAUUGCAAGAAUGUUAAAACCCGAUUCUUCGAAUUGGAGCGCACUAGCGGGGACCUAUGGCUACAUUGCACCUGAAUGUUCAUACACUUCUCUAGUCACGGAGAAAUGUGAUGUAUAUAGCUUUGGUGUUGUGGUGCUUGAGGUGUUGAUGGGCAAACAUCCAGGAGACGUGCAAAAUUUUCUUUCUUCACUUGGUGAUGACCAGUUGCAUCUGGAAGAAAUUUUGGACAAACAACUUCCAAAACCCGAAGCUGAGGAGGCAGAAGACUUGAGACGGUGUAUAUUUGUGGCGUUUGAGUGCCUAAUUCCUUCCCCCAAAGAAAGGCCAACUAUGCUGAAAGUUUAUCGAGAUCUUUCAAUCUGA